AGGUCAAAAUUCCACCGCCUUUAACUGCAUGGGUUCUCUCCUCGGUUACGAAAAUCAGGCCAGAAAUUGGGCCAGAAACGCGGCUAGCUGCAGCUCGGUGAGGGAUCGAGCGAGCGGGGGAUCGAGGUAGUUUAUGAGCGAGAGCGUCUUCCACCGAGGCUUCAUUUUCAGCGGUGUGAUGGGCAUAUUAAGAAGCUCACCAAACAACCGUGCACGUCGUUCGUUCGAUAGAGUUUGUUUGAAACAUCGCGAUGGCUGCUUACUCCUUUUUUCGGACUACAGUGUUUGCAUCUCUGGGAGUUGGCUGUUGGCUGCUGCCUGCGCAGAUAAUGAAAGCCUAACAACUUGGAACCUGUCUAGAAAUUCACUGCAGGCUGUCCGUGUGACUGUAAAUGUUUUGCUAUCUAGAAACUAAAAACUUCACUCCAACUACGGUUGUUCAUCCAUGUGAAUGUAACUAUCAUCAAUGGGUUAGUGUUAUAAGUUAAUCCCAUAUCUACUAACUUUGAACCUUAGUUUGUUUCAUCAAGCGAAACUUGCCCCGUGCACUGAGAUCUCUCUGUUGUGUUUUUACCUGAUCCAUUCCUCGGACAUUUGCAGGUAAAAUAAUUUGUUAUAAGUUUUAAAUUGUUCCAAAGCUGAUUUUGUGUCAUUCAUUAAAUUUAACCAAAGUUUAAUGAAUUGUUCUCCCCUGGAAUCCUUUUUAAAUUGAUUUUGUUUUUAAGUGAGUCAGAACACUCAAGUGGAACACUUUCUUUUCUAGGCUGUAGAGAUUGCACGGAAACUGUCUAAUGAGGACAGUAGUGGUGAACACGACGUCUAGAGUCCCCAUCAAGACAACUGCCUCAAACCAUCAUGAGAACACUGGUUGGAUGUUCGUACUGCCCUCAAAGUAAUUUGUUGCCAUGCUGGCUGUCCUUAGACAGGGUUGGCUGCUGCUAGAAAGCGUAGAUGGUGAAAGCAUGCCAACAGAAGGACAUCGGUGAAGGUUCUACAAGAUAGAUUGCUGUGACAUCAUUGAGAUUAUUCACUGAUUGAAGAGCCAACUCAGUGUCCCAAGCAAUACCCCAGUCGCCCCUCGGACUUAUAGUCUUCUAUACCUGAGGUCAAUCUGAUAGGGAACCUAGUCUCUUCAUCACCAGUCUCCCCCCCCCCCCAGACUUAGGGUCUUCUUUACCCGAAGUAAAUUCGUUUAUCACCAUAGUCUUCUCACCACGCCCUUCCUGCUCCAACACCAUCUUUAGCUACCACUUUCUCGAAUGACCAAGAGUUUGAGUCGAGCAGUCACCAGACAGACAGGCAGACAGACAGACAGACAGAGGUUGCUGUUUGAAACAUUGAGCCCACCAGUUCUUCUCAGAACCCAAAUUCACUCAACAGAGAUCUACCUAAAUCAUUUUGUUGCCAAACUGCAGAAGAUCAAGGAGGCUCGUGAAGAGAUGGCAGAGAUUGAACGGAAACUGUCUAAUGAGGACACCAGUGAUGAAUGCGAUGUCUAGAGUCCUCGUUAAUACGCCUUGACAUCAUCACGACAACACUGGCUGUACGCUCUGUACUGCCCUCAAAGAAAUCGUUGCCAUGCUGGCUGUCCCUAGAUAGGGUUGGCUGAUGCUAGCACAGAUGAUGUAAGCAUGCCAACUAAAGAACAUCUACAAGACAGAUUGCCAGGACAUCUUUGAGGCUGCCAUGCUGGCUGUCCUUAGACAGAGUUAGCUGAUGCUAGCACAGAUGAUGAAAGCAUGCCUUCAAAAGAACAUCGGUGAAGGUUCUACAAGAUAGAUUGCUGUGCCAUCAUUGAGAGUAUUCACUGAUUGAAGAGCCAACUCAGUGUCCCAAGCAAUACACCAGUCCCCCCCCCCAGACUUAGGGUCUUGUAUACCCGAAGUCAAGUUAUUUAGCACCAUAGACGUCUCACCACGCCCUUCCUGCUCCAACAACACUCUCUCGUAUGAGCAAGAGUUUGAGUCGAGCAGUCUACAGAUGGAGUGUACUGUCUGAAACAUUGAGCCCACCUGUUCUUCUUGGAACCCAAAUUCACUCAUCGGAGAUCUACCUAAAUCAUUAUGUUGCCAAGCUUCAAAGGGUAGGCAUUUUUUGAGCCAUUGCAAAUUUCUGCUGUUAUAUUAACUCAAUGUUGUGUUCUUUAUUGAAGCCAAGCCAACUUUACAUUGUAGUGUGCCAAUAAUUUCUGAGGCAAUCAUUCUCCAUCUAUCGUAUCAAUUCCAAGGUUAUGUUCUACUUGUCAAAUCAUUUCCAAAGUAAUUUUGUGCAAUUUCUCAAAACCAUUCCAAGUCAGGGUAUUAUUGCUAAUUGCAUCAAAUUGCAAUUUGUCCUAAGACAUUUUAACAUUAUUGCUCUACCUUUGGAUGGGUCCUGUGUGUUAUGUAAUGCUCUGGCAUGUUGGGCAAAUGAUGUUUAAUAUUUGAGUCUUGUAUUACAAAAACUUAUAAAUAACUGUCUUAAACAUUUCUGCUUUCACUAAAUAAAUAGAUGACGCUUUAUAAAUGCUUGAUGUUGUUAUUUUUCAACUACUUCAGAUCGAUGAGGGUCUUGAAGAGGGUCAGAACACUCCAAGCGGACCACCUUGCUUUCAAGAUGGUAGAGAUUGAACUGAAACGGUCAAAUGAGAACAGCUGCCUCAAACCAUCAGGAGAAGACUGGUUGGAUGCUUCAGACUACCCGAAAAGGAAUUCAUUAAGUUGCCAUGCUAAACAGGGUUGGCUGCUGCUAGCACAGACGAUGAAAGCAUGCCAACAAAAGAACACAUCGGUGAAGGUUCUACAAGAUAGAUUGUCCUGACAUUGUGAGGUUGCCACGCACGACGUCCUUAAACAGGGUUGCCUGCUGCUAGCAGUGAUGAUGGUGAAGGGUCUACAACAUUGAUUACCGUGACUCCAUUGAAGAUCGAGGAGGCUCUUGGAAGAGGAUCACCUUGCUUUCAAGAUGGUAGAGAUUGAAUAGAAACAGUCUAACAAGAGCAGCAGUGAUGAAGAUGACGUCUAGAGUCCCCGUCUAGACAACCAUCUCAAACCAUCAAUAGAACUAGCACCCAGAUUAAAUUCAUCUAGCUUGUCUGCCACGUUUGUAUAACAAACAGACAACAAAAGUCCUGGAACUGGGGAUAUGGCAAAAGGGGGAUAAGGGGUGCAUUAUUUCUGCUACUUUCUGUCCCUCUUUUUAAUGGGUGAAAAGUGUAUCACCACAGGGGCAUACCCGUGCAAGAUACACAAAGAAAUAUCUAGGUAUCUUCGCUCCACACAUGGAUAAAUGAUUACCUGUGAGGGCAGAGUUGUUUCUUGUGAUUGAUUAGCUUACAUAUUUGGGGGCACAGACUGUAUAC